rnacentral:lncRNA from 1 species
AAGAGUAAAGUACUUCCGCUUCCUUAGGUGGAGCUGGAAAGGUGGAGGCGGAAGUGACUGAUCAAUUCAGGGGCGUGGGGUUCGUUUAGGUUUUGCCCUGUGUAUGACCUCGUUUGGAGCCAUGAAACCAGAGUUUCGCUCUUUUUGACCAAGCUGGAGUGCAAUGGCGUGAUCUCGGCUCGCUGCAAUCUCUGCCUUCCAGGUUCAAGUGAUUCUCCUGCCUCAGCCUUCUGAGUAGUUGGGAUUACAGGAAGCUCUUCCACGAGUUCACGAAUGGAAAUAACAUCAAGAGUUUUUCAUCUUCUUAGUGUGCAAGAACACAGCAUAGUAUGUGACAUAAAGGCUUGAUGACUGUGUUGAAUGAAUGUAUGUUGUUAUUUUAGGGCAAUGAUGGAAAGCACCAAGUGGAGUCUGGAGCUAGACUGAUCUGUGUUCAAUCCUGUCUUGGUUACUCAUUGGGGGGCCUCGACUUUCAUGUCUCUGUAAUGUCCCUGACAGUAUCUGCCUCACAGGGUUGCUGUGAGAGUCAAGCGAGAUGUCUGAGGAAUAGUCUUAGUGGAUUAUCCCAAACUUGACACAUUUUUUGCAAAAUGCUAUACAAAAAGAAGAUACAUGCGAUUAUGACAAGAUUCUCCACUUGGUGUGACCAGUCUCAUACAACCCAAGGCUGUGUGUCCAAAGGCAACUGUACUGAAUACCGGAAAGCAUGUAUUUGUUUGCUAAAUUGCUCUCUUUCCACCAGUGAUAUCAAUUCUGAAAUACUUUUGAGAUCUUGACAAUAAUCAAAAGGUAGCCAGGUGCAUCGGGGAAAGCACUGACAUUGGAGUCAGACAGACUGAAGUUCAUAUCUGAUUCUGCUAUAUGACAACGUGUGGGCUAUGUGGCUAACUUCUCAGAGCUUCAGUUUUCUCAAGGGCAAAAUGAAAAUAAUAGAAAUAAUAGAAUCCACCUCACAGGGCUGUGGUGAGAAUUGGAGAUGAAGCACAUACAGCAUAUUACAUCAACUAAACACAUGCUAAAAAUUAAAGGGGAUGAAAGAUACAUUGGUCCCUGCAGUGGGAAGUUUCCUUGACAAUGCAAUUAUUGAUUCCAGAAGGCUGAACAAAUGUUGACAGAGGAACACACUGUUUGCUUAUGUCUAAUCUUCCCAUCUGACUUAUAUAAAUGUCACAAAUGAAUCUCAGACAUGUGCCCAAUAUCAAAUAUCCAUACGAUGGCCCUGGAAAGAGGCAAUCUACAUUUAUGGCUGAUGAGAAGAUGGAUUUUUAGCUUGAAAGAAACUUAUUACUGGGGAGAGGAAGUAUAAAUGAAUGGAGAGAGCUAUGAAGAGGUUGAGAGAAUACAGCCAAGGCACAUGACAGAAUUGCUCUGUUGAAGUUUUGCAAGGUCAAAUGACUCACUUUGUCUAAUGGAACGGGAACGAACAAUUUUUUUGUGUCACGUUUGAACAGAUACCUUUGAGAAGUUUAUGAUUCUCCAAGUUCUCUUUCUCCUACUGUGGCACCUACUGACAAGAUAAAUGUGUAGAGGUUCCUGAGUCUAGGGGUGAGUCUUGCAUAUCUGAUGAAUCCACCAGUAAAAGUACCACUGCUGAAAUCACGCAAAUAUAUUUUUUUAGACCUUAUCAACCUUGGCAUGGAAUUAGAUGAGCAAAAAGCUGAGUUGAAUUGAUGAAAAGAAUCCCAAGUCAUUAAUUACUAAUGAUGGAGCUUGUAAAGUACAGCAUCACUGGGGAAAGCAACUGACUUUCCUCAUACACAUUAUAUUUUUAUCUGAAUUUCAAUACUGCUUAAAUAUGUACUUCAUUACAGGGCACAACUAAAAUAGAAGGGCACCUGCUAAGUCAGAGCCAUAAAACAGAUCUACAGCCUGCUGGCAUGUGAAAUUUCUCUAAUUUAUAUUUUUUAUGAAACUACCCUCACAUUAUGUGGUUGGCAGCAUAAAUAAUAAAGCAUGUUACUGAAGCAAUUUUACAUUUACUGUAUUAGUAAGUAAAUGCAAUGGCCACUCUUAUUCUCAAAUAAAAACUACCCAGCCUUUUCAUGAAAGAUGUUUGCAAUUUCCAUUGGCCUGUAUAUGCAAUAAAAAGCCAUAACUCAUCAAAA